UACGUAGGUGGCAAGCGUUGUCCGGAAUCAUUGGGCGUAAAGAGCGUGUAGGUGGCUCGGUAAGUCCGCUGUGAAAGUCCAGGGCUCAACCCUGGAAAGCCGGUGGAAACUGUCGAGCUCGAGUCCGGAAGAGGCGAGUGGAAUUCCUGGUGUAGCGGUGAAAUGCGCAGAUAUCAGGAGGAACACCAAUGGCGAAGGCAGCUCGCUGGGACGGUACUGACACUGAGACGCGAAAGCGUGGGGAGCAAACAGG
rnacentral:rRNA from 1 species